rnacentral:rRNA from 1 species
UACGUAGGGUCCGAGCGUUGUCCGGAAUUACUGGGCGUAAAGAGCUCGUAGGUGGUUUGUCGCGUUGUUCGUGAAAACUCACAGCUCAACUGUGGGCGUGCGGGCGAUACGGGCAGACUUGAGUACGGCAGGGGAGACUGGAAUUCCUGGUGUAGCGGUGAAAUGCGCAGAUAUCAGGAGGAACACCGGUGGCGAAGGCGGGUCUCUGGGCCGAUACUGACGCUGAGGAGCGAAAGCCAGGGGAGCAAACGGG